CCGCAGUUCCAUGGGAGCCCGGGCCGCACACGCCGGGCUGAGAGGGCCGCAGGGGCGCACCGCGCCGGCGCGGCCGACCAUCACCACUCGAUGCGGGUCAUGCCGCCGUGAGGAGGACCGGUCCGUGCACG
rnacentral:ncRNA from 17 species